rnacentral:rRNA from 1 species
GACGAACGCUGGCGGCGUGCUUAACACAUGCAAGUCGAGCGGUAAGGCCCUUUCGGGGGUACACGAGCGGCGAACGGGUGAGUAACACGUGAGCAACCUACCCUCAACUUCGGGAUAAGCCUCGGAAACGGGGUCUAAUACCGGAUAUCACUCCAUUCUUCAUGGUUUGGGGUUGAAAGUUCUGGCGGUUGGGGAUGGGCUCGCGGCCUAUCAGCUUGUUGGUGGGGUAAUGGCCUACCAAGGCGUCGACGGGUAGCCGGCCUGAGAGGGCGGACGGCCACACUGGGACUGAGACACGGCCCAGACUCCUACGGGAGGCAGCAGUGGUGAAUUUUUCGCAAUGGGGGAAACCCUGACGAAGCAACGCCGCGUGGAGGAUGAAGGCC